ACUCCUACGGGAGGCAGCAGUGGGGAAUAUUGCACAAUGGGGGAAACCCUGAUGCAGCCAUGCCGCGUGUGUGAAGAAGGCCUUCGGGUUGUAAAGCACUUUCAGUAGGGAGGAAGGUAGUGUAGUUAACACCUGCACUAUUUGACGUUACCAUACAAGAAGAGCACCGGCUAACUCCGUGCCAGCAGCCGCGGUAAUACGGAGGGUGCGAGCGUUAAUCGGAAUUACUGGGCGUAAAGCGCAUGCAGGCGGCCUGUUAAGUCAGAUGUGAAAGCCCGGGGCUUAACCUCGGAA
rnacentral:rRNA from 1 species